CCCGUAUGAGGAUCAACUACAUGAUAUUCUUCACACACAUCCCGAAAUGUUAAAGGAACUGUCAAAAAUCGAAAGGUUAUAAUGGUUUCUCCUUAAUGACUGAUGAUAUGGAACUCACAAGCCUUUCCAAGCCAAAAAUAAAAAACAAAAGAACAAAAGAAAAAGCACACUAAGUCGAAUUACCAAAGAAAUAACUUAGGAAAAUAAUAGGGCAUCCUAGUGGAAUGAAAGCUUCAAAAAAG
rnacentral:lncRNA from 1 species